rfam:Candidatus Burkholderia crenata strain TZHbot9 BCREchr_ctg216, whole genome shotgun sequence.
GUGAGGGUGACCGAGCGUUAGGAGGAAGCGUGGAGCGAAACCGUGAGCCGAUGUACAAGAACCGGAUAGAAGGCAGUGCCGAUCAGGGCAAGCGGGCGCGUAACCGCGAAGCUCUCGUGGUCAAGGAUUAGGUGCG